rnacentral:rRNA from 1 species
GACGAACGCUGGCGGCGUGCUUAACACAUGCAAGUCGAACGGAAAGGCCCUGCUUUUGUGGGGUGCUCGAGUGGCGAACGGGUGAGUAACACGUGAGUAACCUGCCCUUGACUUUGGGAUAACUUCAGGAAACUGGGGCUAAUACCGGAUAGGAGCUCCUGCUGCAUGGUGGGGGUUGGAAAGUUUCGGCGGUUGGGGAUGGACUCGCGGCUUAUCAGCUUGUUGGUGGGGUAGUGGCUUACCAAGGCUUUGACGGGUAGCCGGCCUGAGAGGGUGACCGGCAAAAUUGGGACUGAGAUACGGCCCAGACUCCUACGGGAGGCAGCAGUGGGGAAUAUUGCACAAUGGGAGGAAGCCUGAUGCAGCAACGCCGCGUGCGGGAUGACGGCCUUCGGGUUGUAAACCGCUUUCGCAUGUGACGAAGCGUGAGUGACGGUAAUGGGUAAAGAAGCACCGGCUAACUACGUG